GUCAGCUGGGAAUCCUGUUAAAAUGCAGAUUCUGAUUCAGUAGGUCUGAGACAGUGACCAGGAUUCUGCAUUUUUAACAUCCCCCAGCUGGUGCCAA
rnacentral:pre_miRNA from 1 species